UUCACUGCAUCUGUAUCUUUGGGGUAAAUCCCCAGCAGUGCAAUUGCUGGGUCGUAGGGCAGGUCUAUUUUUACCUCUUUGAGGACCCUCCCCCCAGUUUCCCAGCGUGGCUGCCCCAGGUCACGUUCCCACCAGCAGUGCAGGAGGCUCCCCCUUCCCCACAUCCUCGCCAACAUGUGGUUUCCCGUCUUGUUAAUUUUCCCCGUUCUCACUGGGGUGAGGUGGGAUCUCAGUGUGGUUUGGAUCUGUAUUUCCCUGGUGGCCAGGGAUGCGGAGCACGUUCCCAUGUGCUUGGUGGCCGUGUGAGGGUCUUCUCUGGAGAAAUGUCUGUUCAUGUCUUUUGCCCAUUUCAUGACUGGACUGUUUGUUUCUUGGCUGUUGAGUUUAAUAAGUUCUUUAUGGAUCUUGGAUCCUAGCCCUUGAUCUGAUGUGUCAUUUGCAAAUCUCUUCUCCCAUUCUGCAGGUUGUCUUGUAGUUUUGUGGACUGUUUCUUUUGUUGUGCAGAAGCUUCUUAUCUUGACGAAGUCCCACCAGACUGUAGAGCGAGGUCCCCCAGUGCUUGCCUCAGCACCAGAAAUCAUGAGUGGUCGCACCUCCUCUUCUGUGUUUAUCUGUGCAUCCCAAAUAUUUGCAGCAGAAACAUGUUAACAUUUCUGAUUCUAAAAGCCAUGUAUUUACCUGGUGAAGGGUCCCUGACAGAUGUCUUAAGCGCAGCACUGGCGAGUGCAGGUUAGCCUCAAGACUGGUGCCAUUUUCACCCAACCUGUCGCACCUGCUGUCGCCCUGCAGGGCAGUUGGCUGAGACCCCGGGUGAGCCCGUGGGAGCAACAGCAGGCGGUCCCUACCUAGACGGGCUGUGUGACACCAACAUGAGAAAAAAAAAAAAAUAGCUCGAGGCGUGCUGUCUCAGAGUAGGCGCAGUCAUGGAAGAGAGGGUGUUCUGAACUAGAAAAUCAAGAGGGCCUUCCUGGAGGAGGCAGGGCAUGCCCUGCACCUGAUAUUGCUGGAUGGGAUGUGGAAGGCUUUUCAAGUAGAAGGAGCACUUGACAACUUAGAGCAGUGGUGGCCCGGGUGGCACUGGCCCUGCAGGAGGAAACUGGGGACCUGGAAGGCAGUGGUGAUGGUCAGGUGAGGGGGCAGACACCCUCGUCGCCGUGGAGGGGUCACGUGUGGGGUCCAUUCUGGGUGAAGUUCCCGAUGGCAGCCAGUCAGGACAGCAGGGCGUGGCAGUCCUCAGCCUUGUGCCACAGGGGGAUGCUGAGGCCCCAGGACCCUGCCCUAGUCUGCGGGAGCCCCCCGGAUCUGCACAGACCGGCAUCCUCCUGCGGCUUUUCCUCCACUUUCCUGCCUCAGGAUGGUGCGCUUCUCUGAACUCCUCCUCUGUCGUUGAACAUCACGCAGCACCGCAUGGGACAGGGAAUGGUCACGCGCUGGCUUCCUGGCAGGGGAGGUAAUCCGUGAGGAGCCAGGCCCCAAGGAGAGCACAGGGACCUCAGCUAGCGCCCCACUGGCCUGCGGAGGUGGGGACUGCAUCCCCUGCUUCCUGGGGACCCAUGAGCACAGAGGGCGGGCGGGCGCCGCACCCCGCAGAGCAGGCCCGAGCCCGCCACAGAGAAGCCUGCCGUCUCAUCUCUGCAUCCCGUGUUUUACAUAAUUAGGAGCUGAAGCCGUUGCCUCGAAGUUUCUGCAGAGAGCAGAGCCGGACGUGUGAGACACCUGGCACUGAGCUGGCAUUUAGCAGUUUCUACUAUUUUCCCUCAUUACGGGAUACAUGCCGGACUUCCUUCUCCGUCGACGCGUGUGAUAAAAAAAAUUUUUUUAAGCGAUCGAAAGGAGUGAUGGGGAGCCAGAAUGAUUAAAUAACAAAAAAAAAAAAAAAAAAAAAAAAUCAAUCCUCCGUUUGGUCUGGCCAGACCGGCGUUUCUCGGCUCAGUUGCCAAAAGGUGGAAACAACCUCAAAUGCCCAUCGAUGGACAAAUGAAUGAAUAAACACAAUGCAGCACAUCCACCCCAUGGAUACCAGUCGGCCUGAAAAAAAGGAACCAAGUCCGGGCAGCAGCUGCAACGUGGACAAAUUCUGAAGACGUUAUGGAGUAAGCCGGACACAGAUUUUAUGUAGGAGAGAGAAGUAGAAGAAGCAGACCCCCUACUGAGCAGGGAGCCCGAUGUGGGCCUCGAUCCCAGGACCCUGAGAUCAUGACCUGAGCCGAAGGCAGACGACGCCACCCAUGCCCCACGCUGUGCGCUGUUUGAUAUCAGGCUUUUGGCUUUUGCUGGACUCCUAAGAUGUGUUGGGAAGAGCUGUGUCUUUCUUCUCUGAGACAGUGUGGUUGGCUGGUUACUUCCUCGUCUGGUUCCACCUGGGUCCCCCACAUGGCUGUCUUCAGCAGGAGGGCCUGCAGGACUGGACAUGGGCAUUAGCCUCACUCACAUCUUCAGCACACGACACCAGCUCUCCACGGAGGACCCCUCCAUUCUCAGUCACAUGGCCGCUCCUUCUCCUGGCCUGGCGGGUCUUCAACAUCACCGUGCUUGUUCCGCCUACUUCGCCCGCACUGGGACCAUGUUCCAGAAUGUGCAGGGCAGAGGUCACUUCCAAAGGAUGCCUUCUCCCUGCGUGAGGCUCAGAGUGCAGUUUCUCGGGGUGCAGCUUGGCGGCAUGGAGUACAUCUGCUUUGCUGUGCAUCUCUCAUUACCAUCCGUCUUCAGGACUUCAUGGGGCACAGCUGGAACUCUGGAGUAUGAAACACUGACUCUCCAUCCCCUCCUCCUCCUCCCGGCCCUGGCAUCCACCAUUCUAUUCUCUGUGUCUACAGAUUUGACUGCUGUGGGCACCUCAUGUGUCCUGUCCAAAAACAUCGCCAAGCCCAUGCCAAAGAGCGCCUUCCCCUCUGUUUUCUUGUGACAGCUUUAUGGUUUCAGAUCUUAUAGCGGAAACAAAAAUGCAGCCAAAGGAACCCGAUUGUCAUUGACGGAAGAAAAAGAGCUGCAAGCCAAAACAUGCAAAACCAGCCUCUCAUUGAGGAGAAAGUGAAAAAUCCAGAAUGAGCUGGAAGGGGAGGGCCGAGAACUCGCAGGAGCCCUUGUGUGAAUCAGAAGCUCUCCUUAGCCUGGUGCCUCUGCCCACAGCCCCGUGCCGCCCACAGGAGCCACCACCCUGCACCUGGGCCGGGUGAUGGCAUCCCCGUCAGACCUCAGCCGCUCUACCGUCUGGGCUCCUGGCCUCUGCCCACCUGCCUGAGCCUGAAGCUGGUUCUCGGAUCAGCGUGCCCAUCUAGCGUAGCCUGAGCCCUUGCUCCCUCCCUGCCAAGCCCUCCAGUUUGGAAGCAGAGGCAGGAGGGCCAGGGCGGGGGUGGGGGUGGGGGAUCUUGUGGUUGGUUAACUGCAGGGUGCUGCUGUGGCCUCUGUCACACAGUCCCCGACAGACAUGGAGUGCAACAUACGUACAGAUGGCCCCUCUGGGGACUGAGCCGUCUCAGGAACGGUAAGAAUUUCUCUAUGCAGGUUAGAGGGCGGUCUGAGGACCGAGAAGUUUGUAAAAGUUUCUUCCAUGAAUGACCUUUAUCUUGCCCCAAGAUGCAGCCCUGGGGCCCAGGUUCUGAAAGGGAAACACCCCCCACCCUCCACCCAGCCCAGUCUAACGUAUGCAUGCGUUUUGCCUUGCAUUCGAAUCAAAACAGAUAAAAUUACCCAAAGUGAAAUUCACAGACAAGAAAUACUUUAAUUAAAUAUUGUGUAAAAUGAACAUUUUUAUACAGUUAAAUAUCUGAAAAAAUGUACAGAUAAAACAAUCUUAUUGUAGGGUCUUUAACAGUAAAAUCUACCAUUUAGUGAAGCGCUCAAUUUUGAGACAAUGAAGCGAUGAGGGGCAUUGACUAAUUAAUCUAAAACACAAACCGAGUGCAGGGAUGAGGAAACUUGCAAACGUUCUCAACAUGUACACGUGAGCUUGUUUUUUUAGAUCAAACCCUUACUUAUACAAAAUAAAACGGAGGCAAUUUAGUUCCAAAGUGACUUCUCAGGCUUUCCCACGUAGCUAAGCCUUAGGGGUCAUGGGGCCGGACCGCGACCCGCUGACCACCGGGACAUUCUGCUGUUUUAUUUAGUCCCUCGAAUGAACACUUUCCUAAGUUGUGCAUGGUUUUGUUCUUUUGUCAAGAAAGUUGUUUUUUAAUGUCCCUCCUUUUUGUUUUACAUCUGAUUUCUGCUGCAAUUCGCGAAACGUCUGCUGUGCUGUGUCUGUGAGGCGUUUAACACAAAGGGAAAGACUGACCCUCCUGGUCUCACUGUGGGUUUGGCACGAACAGGCACAGUAUCUGAAGGAGGUCAUUCCGGUUUUAAAAAGUACAGACAGCGCUGCAGGGGUCCGACCACAAAAAAGGUGUCGUUUCAAAAAAAGUUAAAAACCAGCAGUGAUUUUUGGUUCCCCCGAAACCUCUCUGGAUCCUAGGUGGGCCCCAGGGAGACACGGAACGCAGCAGAAUCAGACGCAGAAUGGAGCGACACAUGGAACGUCAGAAAAAUAAAAUAAGGACACAGCCCCAAACGGUGUCACCUCUUUGCGGCUGUUCCACAUGCACGGAAUCUACUAGGAUUUGUCACAGCCGAGUGGCACCGUUUUGUUUUGACUAUACAACGAACUUUUUUUUUUCAAAAGUAUUUGUUCAGAUAACUUAAAAAUAAUAUAAAAAUAAACAAUGAAUUUGACUUUUCCUCAAAAUAAAAAAAAAAAAGAAAAAAAAAGGACGGGAAGUCUCAACAAAAGCAAAUCGGAAGCACAAAUGAAAUGCAAGGACACCAGUUCACUUUAACAGAAACAGAUCAAAGAGACAGCUCUUGGCUUAAUGCUCUUCCCAACACCAGGCCACGAUCAAAAACCAAUACAGACGAGAGAAAAAAGAAAAUGGCAGGAAAACCAAUGUACAAAGUCUCAAAGAUAAAUACAAUAUUUAUAAUCGAUAUGUUACAAAAGAAAGUCCCUUAGCAACUGUAAGUGUUCAUGGAAAAGUGUUGAAUGGAGACCAUUUUAUUCCUUAUGAGACACAUAAGGAAGAAAACGUGGUGGUGGGGGUUUUGUUUUUUUGUUUUUUUUUUUUCUAAAUAUUUAAGUGGAUCUGAAAAAAAUUCAAGACAAGUGUAUAAAUAUUUAGCUACAACUUUGGCAAAAUCACAAAAGUCUACAAUUUUAUAACCACAUACAAAACACAUUAGGGAAGAAGGAGCUAGAAGUCAAAAGGACAAGUUCUGGUACAAGAAACAUGGACCUCACAGUAGCCUAAGAAUGCAAUAGUAUACAGUGCUAGCAAAAGUUGAAAAAAUGUUGCAGAUCACACUUGCUUAACAGGAAGCUCUAGCAGUGGGAGAAUAGUUAAACCAACAGACAGUAGCAUUUUUUUUUUCUGUCAGUGUGCUUGUUGAAGGCAAGAGAAUUCAAUAUCAAAGUUACAAUUUCUAACUACAAUAAGUUACAAAGUUUCAUUUCAUUAAGAUGAAGUUAAGCCAUGAUAAACCCGCCCCCCGCCCCUGCCACCCCGAAAUCUCCUCGUCACGUCGUAGUCCUCCUCUCUUCCAGUUCGAUGGCUCACACCUCCUUGGCCCCCUUUUUUUUUUUUUCACCACAAAAAAAUAUUUCACAUUAUAGAGAUACACAACCAUUGUGAAUCUAAGUUAUGAGCACAGAAAAAUGUCCGGAGGCAUUUUUCAUCAGUGUUUCAUGAUAAUCAAAAUGGUGCAUUCACAAAGUUUCUCCCAACACAUAGCAAGUACUAGACAGAGCCAAGACGGAGUCAGAAACUUUAUACAAAAUAGGCGUCGCUUUGUUUUCCUUAGUCUUCAGGACCGAGAAAUGUGGAAAUAUGAGAAAAGUUCAGUCAAUAAAAUGGAAUCGUUCGUGAA